AAAGUUAAAUAAAAUAUUGUUAUAAUAUUAUUUUUAAAUAUUAUUAUUGUUUUAGAAUUUGAAAAAGUUAAAUUGUUUAUUAUAUUUUGUAUGAGAAUUUAGAAAAGUUGUAAUAAUGAGAUGAGAUGAAACGAAAUGGUUCUUGUAUCCAAAUGGGGGGAAGCCUAAG